GACGAACGCUGGCGGCGUGCUUAACACAUGCAAGUCGAACGGAAAGGCCCUGCUUUUGUGGGGUGCUCGAGUGGCGAACGGGUGAGUAACACGUGAGUAACCUGCCCUUGACUUUGGGAUAACUUCAGGAAACUGGGGCUAAUACCGGAUAGGAGCUCCUGCUGCAUGGUGGGGGUUGGAAAGUUUCGGCGGUUGGGGAUGGACUCGCGGCUUAUCAGCUUGUUGGUGGGGUAGUGGCGUACCAAGGCGUUGACGGGUAGCCGGCCUGGGAGGGUGACCGGCCACAUUGGGACUGGGGUACGGCCCAGACGCCUACGGGAGGCAGCAGUGGGGAAUAGUGCACAAUGGGCGGAAGCCUGAUGCAGCGACGCCGGGUGCGGGAUGACGGCCUUCGGGUUGUAAACCGCUUUCGCCUGUGACGAAGCGUGAGUGACGGUAAUGGGUAAAGAAGCACCGGCUAACUACGG
rnacentral:rRNA from 1 species